rnacentral:rRNA from 1 species
UACGGGGGGUGCUAGCGUUAUUCGGAAUCAUUGGGCGUAAAGGGCGCGUAGGCGGUCUUUUAAGUCAGAUGUGAAAGCCCUCGGCUUAACUGAGGAAGUGCAUUUGAUACUAAAAGACUUGAGUAUGGGAGAGGGAAGCGGAAUUCCUGGUGUAGCGGUGAAAUGCGUAGAUAUCAGGAGGAACACCGGUGGCGAAGGCGGCUUCCUGGACCAAUACUGACGCUGAGGCGCGAAGGCGUGGGGAGCAAACAGGAUUAGAAACCCGUGUAGUCC